UUCUGGCCAAGCUCUCACCAUUCUGCAGAAUAAGGAUCAGAACUUUACAGAGGUAAACUGUGUCUGUUCUUUUUACUAUUACAGCAGUUCAUCGUGGCCCUGUCAUUCAACUCCUUCACCAAAGCUGUCAGGGACCUAUAUGAAGAGUGCCAUCACUCAGAGAGACACUUUGACCUGUCCAGCUCUCUAAUCGGACUCAUAGACGGCAGCUUUGAGAUGGGUAAACAAUAACAUUGAGUUGCUUGAUAAUUCAUGUAGUAAAAACCAGAUACAGACUACAUGAUGACUAAUGUAUGAUCCAUUUUCUUUUGUGGUUCAAUCAGUCUGCUCUCAAUACUGUCCAGUUUUAUAGUUGUUCCUAAUAAUUGAUUGACUGGCAUUUGUCCAUGACUCUACUGUCAAACCCCUAACAUUGUUUUAUGUGAUGCUAUGUUGUUGAAGCCUAGUAUCCAAACUGAUAUGCCAUUUUAUGUUUUUUUUUAAACAGCGUUUAUAAUUUCCGAUUCCUGGCUACUGUAGUAUUGUGAUUUCUUGCAGGUAACCUGCUGUUCCUGGCUGUGGUCAGCCAUUUUGGGGCGAAGCUGCACCGGCUCAGGCUCCCCGUGUCCUUAUUCAGAUAAUCACCCCAGUUGGCCUUUUUCUCUUCAUCUAGUGUGCGCAACAUUGACAACAGUGUACAGUUAAAUCUCGGAACUGGUGGUACCGGACUGGAGACCCGCACCUCAAGGCUAGUGCGGGGAGCAGGAACAGGGCACACUGAGUUCUCAAGGCGCAUUAUAGGACUGGUGCGUGGUACCGGGACUGGUGGUACCGGGCUGAGGGCACGCACCUCAGGACGAGUGCGGGGAGAAAGAUCAGUGCGUACUGGGCUCUGGAGACGCACAUGAGGCUUGGUGCGUGGUGCCGGAACUGGAGGCACUGGGCUGGAUACACGCACCACAGGGAGAGUGCGUGGAGGAGGAACAGGGCUCUGGAGAGGCACAGGAGGCUUAGUGCGUGGUGUCAGCACUGGUGGUACUGGACUGGGGACACGCACCACAUGGCUAGUGCGAGGAGCAGUAACAGGACGCACAGGACUCUGGAGACGCACAUGAGGCUUUGUGCGUGCUGUAGGCACUGUCUUAACCAGACGGCUAGCACGCACCUCAGGACGAGUAUGGAGAGCUGUUCCCGGUGACAUUAACUCACCAACACGUUCAUUCGGACGGAUGCCGUGCCUCAUGCACCAAACCAGUACAUCCCUCAUAACUCUCUCCUCCAAUUUCUCCAUUAACUCCUUUACUGUCUCUGCGUCGCUCAACUCCAAAUCCACCCUCACCGGCUCCCUACGGUAAGCAGGAGGAGUUGGCUCACGUCUCCCGACUGACCUAACUAAACUACCCGAGAGUCCCCCCCCACAAAUUUUUGGGUUUGACUUACGGGCUUCCAGCCUUGUUUCCGUGCUGCCUCAUAUCGCCGCCUCUCUGCUUUCGCUGCCUCCAGCUCAGCUAUGGGGCGGCGAUAUUCUCCUGGUUGAGCCCAGGGUCCCUUUCCGUCCAAUAUUUCCUCCCAAGUCCAUGAGUCCUGGUUCUUUGGCCGCUGCUGCUGGUUCCUCUCAUGCUGCUUGAUCCGUGGUUGGUGGGGUGUUCUGUCACGAUCGUCUUCGUGAGAGAGAGAGGACCAAGGCGCAGCGUGUGCAAAAUACAUCUCUUUAUUUUGGAAGAGAGAAAAACACGAAAACGAACAGUACACAAACUAACAAAACAACAAACGACCGUGAAGCUAAAUAACGUAAGUGCACAGACAAGCAACAAACGUUCAACAUAGACAACACCCCACAAAAGCCUACUGCCUUUGGCUGCCUUAAAUAUGGCUCCCAAUCAGAGACAAUGAAUGACAGCUGUCUCUGAUUGAGAACCAAUCCAGGCAGCCAUAGACAUAACUAGACAACCUUACUCUACUCUGCCCCAUACACAUACAACACCCCUAGACACUACAAAACACAUACAUUCCCCAUGUCACACCCUGACCUAACUAAAAAACAUAAAGAAAACAAAGAAUACUAAGGCCAGGGCGUGACAAUUUCAGUGUGUAAGUACUUUUAAAUCAGUGUUCUAUACUGACUUGGUACCUCAACUUGUUUCCUUUCUGCUGUUUCCUUUGUAAUAAUCCAUCUGGUGAGACAUGGAGCCUGUUCCACUCUUGCAGUAACUGUUUGACUUUGUAUGACUCUUGUUGACAUUCUGUUGGUUUAGGCUUAGUGCCGCUUAGUCCUUUGACUUUUCAGUUCCAAGAUUCUCGAUACAGCCGCAUCUUUUAACUGAGCCUGCAUGAUAUCGUGUGGAGACAGUCGGUCUGUAACUUUUCCACCCCACCAUGACAGCUCAUCUUGCACUGAUGGCCUUGGUGUGACCGUGGAUAUCCACGUUACACAGUCAUUCUGUUUUGUGAACAUUAUUGAGUGUUGCUUUUACCAUUUCAAGUGAGUGUUUCUCAGUGCAUUCUUCCAUGUAAUGUUCAGCAUGCAAAGGAGAGCGUGACAGAAAGUCUGCGUCAUUGUUUACCUUUCCAGGACGAUACUUCAGUGUGAGAUUAAAGUCAGACAGCUCUGCCACCCAGCGAUGACCGGUGGCAUUCAGUCUUGCUGUAGUUAGUACAUAUGUCAAAGGGUUAUUAUCACUGUACACUGUCACAGAGGGAGCAUAAAAUAGGUAAUCUCGGAACCGCUCUGUCACUGCCCAUUUGAGGGCCAAGAAUUUCAGUUUCCUUGAGUGAAGGUGAUAGUUUCUCUCUGCUUCUCUCUUCUCUCUGCUGUCAGGAUGCGGGAGCCAUAUCCAAUGACUCUCAGUUUGCCACUUUGUCGUUGGUAUACCACCCCUCCCAAUCGCUCUUCAGAGGCAUCAACAUGCAGGAUAAAAGGGUCCUUGAAAUCUGGGUAAGCAAGCACAGGUGGAUUAGUCAACACACUCACCAAGUGUUCUAAUGCUCUCUGGUGAGCAUCCUCCCAUAUAACUUUCUGGUGGGGCAGAGCCUGUCCCGACUGCACAGCUGCCUUGGUCCUUCGCUUCCCGGAUGCUGGGGUCUUCGUCUUCACUGCUAGUAAGUCAUAGAGACAUUUAGCAUGUUGUGAAAAGUUCUGUACAUAACCCCUAUAGUACCCUAGAAACCCCAGUAGUUUCCUCAGCUCUCUCACUUUUGUUGGUGGCCUGUUUACCAGUUCUUGCACUGCUACAAUUUCUUUAACAUCCAUUCUGUAACCCUCAGCAAAAAUAAUUUUUCCUAAAUAACAGACGUCAUUCUUGAUUAGGUCACACUUAUUUGAGUUUAAUACCCCAUUUAUUUUGCUGCCUAAGUACCUGACGGACAUCUUCCACAUGUUGUUCAAAUGACUGACUAAAAAUAAGAACGUCAGAAUCUGUAUACCAUAUUUGGAUAUCUCUUAUCCCCUCUAAACUUUCCUCCAUGCUUCAUUGGAAGGCACUAUAUGAACAACUUCUCGUUCAUCAUCACCAACAAACGACUAAGUCAUGUCGAACCUUGAAAACAUGAGAGACCGCGUUUAAAGUUUUGCCAGCCAAGUGCAACCACCUUUACAACCACCCGAGGAGGAUCAGGUGGUUCAAAGGUAGGAUUCAUUCUGGUAGUUUAGGUAAUAACUGGCAAAAGUCAACAUUAACCGGCAGAACUACCUAGUAAUGUUAGCUUGCUAAUGAUUCCAACAGCUACCGUAGGGUGAGCGAGUAUGGGCGGCGUCGAUUAUGCUGAGUGUCAUUAUUGUAACUUUUAUAACGUUUGCACAUGUCAGAUUUCAAUCGUUCAGGAGACGGAAUAAUGCUGGAGUCCAAAGGCGGCGAACCGGGAGAAGCAGGUUGAUAACUAUGAGGGUUUGCCUGAUCGCUGACCCUACCAUCCGGCAGCUGAACAGGAUAGGUUCAAAUAUCGUCUCAACUCUCUCGGGCUGCUUGAAGCAUUGGGGAACCACCCGCACAGCUUCUGAGCACUUUUUGUGGACUCCAUAAAGCCUCCCACUGCCAGGGACCUGUUCAAAGUAACCUAUUCAAACCUGGCAGCAACCGGCGGUGUUUGGAGAACAACACCAUCUGCCACUGGUUCAACUGGCUGGCUGAGGUGCAAAUGGAGAAUGUCCUCUAACAGUGGCGAUGGUGUUGGAGUUUGUUACUGGGGCAACGGUGGUGCCACCCCUUGGGUUUGAGGACACCCCGACCAUCGAAUUCCUCCACACAGCGCGAGGGCGUCUCGCUGGGCAGCAGAAGAAAAAGUACCCAAAGGCAAACACGUGUGCUGUGACACUAAGGCUCCUUCUUCAUAGCACCUACAAUGUCUUUAGGGAAUUCAUGACCUCCGGUAUUGUGAAUUCCCCACAUUUCGGUGUUGCAUUAAAACAUUUUUAUGAUACAUAAUUGUAUCUAGUAGCACUAAACUACAGUAGCAAUUGAGUGUUUGAAAAUGUAACUGCACAU